rnacentral:rRNA from 1 species
AUUGAACGCUGGCGGCAUGCUUUACACAUGCAAGUCGUGCGGCAGCGCGGGGGCAACCCUGGCGGCGAGCGGCGAACGGGUGAGUAAUGCAUCGGAACGUAUCCUCGAGUGGGGGAUAACCCAGCGAAAGUUGGGCUAAUACCGCAUGAGCUCUGAGGAGGAAAGCGGGGGACCUGCGAGGGCCUCGCGCUGGAGGGGCGGCCGAUGUCCGAUUAGCUAGUUGGUGGGGUAAAGGCUUACCAAGGCGACGAUCGGUAGCUGGUCUGAGAGGAUGAUCAGCCACACUGGGACUGAGACACGGCCCAGACUCCUACGGGAGGCAGCAGUGGGGAAUGUUGGACAAUGGGGGCAACCCUGAUCCAGCCAUGCCGCGUGAGUGAAGAAGGCCUUCGGGUUGUAAAGCUCUUUCGGACGGAACGAAAUGGGCGGGACUAAUACUCCUGUCUGAUGACGGUACCGUAAGAAGAAGCACCGGCUAACUACGUG